UUUUCCCCAUUGCACCCGUUUGGGCCGAUCCAGAGCCAAAUGCGAUUCACGUUGUGUAAACGCUCGGUGACCUUUGUGCCAUUUGCCUUAACCCCCCCUUUGAUGGUCAUUUAAGUUAGUCCUAAAGCUAGUCAAUGUUUUUGGAGCUUACAUUUACCCUAAGCUAAGGCAAGCGAAUAUUAAAAUUCGAUCACAAAGUAA
rnacentral:sRNA from 1 species